UUUAUUUUGGAGGGUUACUUCCUGCCCCGAAAUGGCGCUCGCUUCCUCUUAUGGAAAUGCUGCGCACUUUACUACGCUCUCUAGUGUCUGCUGUGGGACGCGCUGGAGAAGAAAGUCUCAAAAUCUUCUCAUUCUCACACUUUUGAAACUUCAUAAUUAGCCAACAUGUUCGAUUAGCAAUCGAGCCGUGCAGGUGUGUUGUUUUGCCCUCGAUUUCUCAGAUGUAGCGACUUCAGCCACAUCUGCGGUCCUCUCCAAGGGUCCCCAGUAAGACGGAACAGCACAUUACUUCAUCAAUCCAGAGAUUUAAAGACAUGUAUGAGCUAACUGGGCCGUGGCCAUUUUACCUCAAUGUUUUUAUGCCUCCACAA